rnacentral:lncRNA from 1 species
CAAAUGUUUUUAAUGAUUAUAAUAAUAUAGAACUAUGCAAUGUGAAUGUGGAUUUUUUCUCUGCAGAAAUACAGGAUGUAUUUACUUAAGGAAAUCCUGUCCCAGAUCUCUCUGCUGCUUCACAUCAUCUCUUUAGAUUGGGUUCUUCCAGAGACAGAAUGAUCCGCUGGAGGUCUCUCACAGUAAGAAAAACAUGCAUUAGUCUCCAUCAGAAAAGGUAGUGCCUGAGUGAAGACAUGCAGGUACAGAAGUAGGUUAAGGAAACUUAUGUCUGCUGUUAUGGAUUUUCAUUUUCACUGGAGGGAUUUAACAUUGGGAUAUUGUGUGAAUCAUUCUCUAUGUAUGUGUCUAACUUGUGUAGAUAAAAAAUCAUUUACAUGAAAUAAAACAAAAAGAAACUACA